UUGCGGUUAAAAAGCUCGUAGUUGGAUUUCUGUCGAGAACGCGCGGUCCACGCUUUGCGUGAGCAUCUGUGUCGGUCUUGGCAUCCUCUAGAGGAUCGUUUCUGCGCUUGAUUGCGUGGGGCGGAACUCUAGACUUUUACUUUGAGGAAAUUAGAGUGUUCACGGCAGGUAAACGCCUUGAAUACAUUAGCAUGGAAUAAUAACAUAGGACCUCGGUUCUAUUUUGUUGGUUUCUAGAGCUGAGGUAAUGAUUAAUAGGGAUAAUUGGGGGCAUUCGUAUUAACGCGUCAGAGGUGGAAUUCUUGGAUUGCGUUACGACGAACUACUGCGAAAGCAUUUGCCAAGGAUGUUUUCAUUGAUCAAGAACGAAAGUUAGGGGAUCGAAGACGCUUAGAUACCAUCGUAGUCUUAACCAUAAACUAUGCCGACUAGAGAUUGGAGGUCGUUUUUUUUAUGACUCCUUCAGCACCUUAUGAGAAAUCAAAGUCUUUGGGUCCCGGGGGGAGUAUGGUCGCAAGGCUGAAACUUAAAGGAAUUGACGGAAGGGCACCACCA
rnacentral:rRNA from 1 species